UACGUAGGGUGCGAGCGUUGUCCGGAAUUAUUGGGCGUAAAGAGCUUGUAGGCGGUUUGUCGCGUCUGCCGUGAAAAUCCGGGGCUCAACCCCGGACUUGCGGUGGGUACGGGCAGACUAGAGUGUGGUAGGGGAGACUGGAAUUCCUGGUGUAGCGGUGAAAUGCGCAGAUAUCAGGAAGAACACCCGUGGCGAAGGCGGCUCUCUGGGACGGUACUGACGCUGAGACGCGAAAGCGUGGGGAGCGAACAGG
rnacentral:rRNA from 1 species